rnacentral:rRNA from 1 species
UUCGACACACUAUCAUUAACUGAAUCCAUAGGUUAAUGAGGCGAACCGGGGGAACUGAAACAUCUAAGUACCCCGAGGAAAAGAAAUCAACCGAGAUUCCCCCAGUAGCGGCGAGCGAACGGGGAGGAGCCCAGAGCCUGAAUCAGUGUGUGUGUUAGUGGAAGCGUCUGGAAAGGCGCGCGAUACAGGGUGACAGCCCCGUACACAAAAAUGCACAUACUGUGAGCUCGAUGAGUAGGGCGGGACACGUGGUAUCCUGUCUGAAUAUGGGGGGACCAUCCUCCAAGGCUAAAUACUCCUGACUGACCGAUAGUGAACCAGUACCGUGAGGGAAAGGCGAAAAGAACCCCGGCGAGGGGAGUGAAAAAGAACCUGAAACCGUGUACGUACAAGCAGUGGGAGCCUCUUAAUGGGGUGACUGCGUACCUUUUGUAUAAUGGGUCAGCGACUUAUAUUCUGUAGCAAGGUUAACCGAAUAGGGGAGCCGAAGGGAAACCGAGUCUUAACUGGGCGUUAAGUUGCAGGGUAUAGACCCGAAACCCGGUGAUCUAGCCAUGGGCAGGUUGAAGGUUGGGUAACACUAACUGGAGGACCGAACCGACUAAUGUUGAAAAAUUAGCGGAUGACUUGUGGCUGGGGGUGAAAGGCCAAUCAAACCGGGAGAUAGCUGGUUCUCCCCGAAAGCUAUUUAGGUAGCGCCUCGUGAAUUCAUCUCCGGGGGUAGAGCACUGUUUCGGCAAGGGGGUCAUCCCGACUUACCAACCCGAUGCAAACUGCGAAUACCGGAGAAUGUUAUCACGGGAGACACACGGCGGGUGCUAACGUCCGUCGUGAAGAGGGAAACAACCCAGACCGCCAGCUAAGGUCCCAAAGUCAUGGUUAAGUGGGAAACGAUGUGGGAAGGCCCAGACAGCCAGGAUGUUGGCUUAGAAGCAGCCAUCAUUUAAAGAAAGCGUAAUAGCUCACUGGUCGAGUCGGCCUGCGCGGAAGAUGUAACGGGGCUAAACCAUGCACCGAAGCUGCGGCAGCGACACUAUGUGUUGUUGGGUAGGGGAGCGUUCUGUAAGCCUGUGAAGGUGUACUGUGAGGUAUGCUGGAGGUAUCAGAAGUGCGAAUGCUGACAUAAGUAACGAUAAAGCGGGUGAAAAGCCCGCUCGCCGGAAGACCAAGGGUUCCUGUCCAACGUUAAUCGGGGCAGGGUGAGUCGACCCCUAAGGCGAGGCCGAAAGGCGUAGUCGAUGGGAAACAGGUUAAUAUUCCUGUACUUGGUGUUACUGCGAAGGGGGGACGGAGAAGGCUAUGUUGGCCGGGCGACGGUUGUCCCGGUUUAAGCGUGUAGGCUGGUUUUCCAGGCAAAUCCGGAAAAUCAAGGCUGAGGCGUGAUGACGAGGCACUACGGUGCUGAAGCGACAAAUGCCCUGCUUCCAGGAAAAGCCUCUAAGCAUCAGGUAACAUCAAAUCGUACCCCAAACCGACACAGGUGGUCAGGUAGAGAAUACCAAGGCGCUUGAGAGAACUCGGGUGAAGGAACUAGGCAAAAUGGUGCCGUAACUUCGGGAGAAGGCACGCUGAUAUGUAGGUGAAGCGACUUGCUCGUGGAGCUGAAAUCAGUCGAAGAUACCAGCUGGCUGCAACUGUUUAUUAAAAACACAGCACUGUGCAAACACGAAAGUGGACGUAUACGGUGUGACGCCUGCCCGGUGCCGGAAGGUUAAUUGAUGGGGUUAGCGGUAACGCGAAGCUCUUGAUCGAAGCCCCGGUAAACGGCGGCCGUAACUAUAACGGUCCUAAGGUAGCGAAAUUCCUUGUCGGGUAAGUUCCGACCUGCACGAAUGGCGUAAUGAUGGCCAGGCUGUCUCCACCCGAGACUCAGUGAAAUUGAACUCGCUGUGAAGAUGCAGUGUACCCGCGGCAAGACGGAAAGACCCCGUGAACCUUUACUAUAGCUUGACACUGAACAUUGAGCCUUGAUGUGUAGGAUAGGUGGGAGGCUUUGAAGUGUGGACGCCAGUCUGCAUGGAGCCGACCUUGAAAUACCACCCUUUAAUGUUUGAUGUUCUAACGUGGGCCCCUUACCGGGGUUGCGGACAGUGUCUGGUGGGUAGUUUGACUGGGGCGGUCUCCUCCUAAAGAGUAACGGAG